CCUCUAAAACUUUUAACUCCAUGCCCAUUGCUAUUUUUGCUUCUUCCCUAUAUAUUUUUUUUCUGAUGAGACUCUUAAUCUUUACAUACAGCUGUGUGUGUGUGUUUUUUUCGUUUCUAUUUUAAAUCUUACAGGCAAAGAAGGUAUUCAACCAAGACAUGUUUUUCAAGAAGACCGUCAAAUAUGUUGGAGAGCCAAUGACCCACUUGGAAUCCAUUGCUUCCUCUGCGAGCAGCUGAAGAAAAGCCUGUCUUCUGUUCAAAUAAAUGGAGGUGAAACUUUAAAUGUGCAGCACAAUAAGAGCUCUGCUUCUGUUCAAAUAAAUGGAGGUGAAACUGUAAAUGUUGGAGUGGAGGUAGCUAAUUCGGAAGUAGAAUACAUUGAAUAUGAGAACUUGAGUGAUCUAGAAGAUGUUGAUACAUGUCUUAAGACCCGAGUCCUAUGAUAGAAGAGGAAAUCCAUCUGAUCCAAAUGAGGCAGGGUUGUUUAUGAAUAGAAAAUCCCAAGAUGCUGCGGUUGGUGCUCUUGUACGGAUGCUGAAGAAAGCCCCUCCACUUCGCCAAGACAUCCCAAGUUCGAUAAAUUUUUCAAAAGCCUCGAGGCCAGAAAUGUGGAAUAACAACAUCCAAGAGUAAAACCAGAACACAGAGGCUGUGACUGUCGAACAUGAUGCUUCUUCAAUUAUUACAUCUUCUAGGCUUGUCGCAUCAAUGACAACGGCGGAUGCAUUAAAGGAACUUCAGAGUUACAAAGAGAUGAAAAACUUGUUGCUUAGUGAAGGUGGUAAGUCUUGCAUAUCUGCCAAUUUAACCUCUGGGGCUAAACAUUCUGGCAAAGGUACAUGAGAAUGAUCAACUUAUUUGAUAUUGGUAUAGUUGCACAUAUGUACAGCGCUGUGGUUUGAAAGACUACUACUACAUGCUAUACAGCUGAAGCCAUUUUCCUCUUUUUGUGAUCAUAGGAGUAUAUAUAUACAAUAUAUGUGUUUUUGGUUAAGAUUUAUGUUAACAACAGAAGGGUUAUCUGUUGGCCCCGAACUUUGUAAAAAGCACUUUUGUCUCUGAUCCUACAUAACAUAAUUGCACAUAAUUUUAGAUGUUGGGUAAGGGUUGCGCAUGCUUUGAUAUACAGGCUUGCUGAUGCUGUCAUUUCUGUUAUUUUGCUUUUCUCCUUUGUUUCCCCUCCCGCAUAUAUAUUUACCUGUUUUAGAAGGGUUUUUUUUGUAAAAGUUAUAUUUGAAGUAUAAUAACCUGAUAUAUUUGGAAGAUUAUAAUUCUAUAGGCAUAGUAAUUUAUUUGACCCUCCAAUAACAUUUUAGCUUUCAAUUUGACUUUUUAUACCCGAAUAUGCUGUAAGACUCCAAUUCUUACUUGGUUAUCUGACUAGAAAUUAAGACUAGAGAAUCGGGUGUCUUAGAUUUAAUUUGACUAGUGCAUUUUGUUCCUUGUUCUAAUGUGCAGGGGUGAUUUGAUCCCUCUUGUAGUUAAGUCCUUGAAGAAUCCUAGGUAUUAUAAAGAUACUCACUGAACAUUUAUAAUUUACCAUUAUGGUGGGGGAUUUUUACUGCAAACAAAGGGUCAAAAUUUAAAGAAGAUUGCAUGAAAACCAUAUGGCAACGAGUGGACUGUGAGAGAUCCUAUAAAAGUGUGAGAGACGGAUUCGUUUUUGUGAUAAGGCAAUAAAGAGAGUAGGUCCAAAGCCAGAAAAAGAAAAAAAAAUGAUGAGUAAUUAUUUCACCUAUAUACUCAACUCAUUAAUGAUUAUUUUGAUGUAUAAUAUUUUAUAACUUUUUUUUCCUUAUUUUAUCUGGAAGGAAGUCCAUUUUUUUUCCAGUCUUAAUCAGGGUCCAUGGCCCCUUGGUUAAAUGGGAAAUUUUCAUUUUAGUCUCUCCUAAAUAUUAAUAUUGUAAAUUUAAGCCUUUUACCCUUGGAUAAAUGGAAAAAUUAUAUUUUUGGCUGCUCCUAAAAUUUUUUAGCUUUAGCUCCCUCAUACAAAGUUCAUGGCUUCGUCCCUGUUCUGCAGAAUACUGUACAUGGAGUUUGUCUGAAAAUAGAACAGCAUAAUUAGAAAGUCAUUAUAUGCUUAAUGUGCUAGUAAUUUGUUGGUAAGUAGAUGAAGUUUCUGUUUAUUUGAACUUUGGUUUUACUUUAUGCUAAAUGUUGGUAGGGCAUAUACUAGUUGAUGUACAGGCUCGUGACUGGUAGCAUGCCCGCAUUAGUCUACAUGUAUUAUGUGCCUGUCAAUUAUUAUACAUGGUUUAAUCAAAGCUCAUAACCAGUUGAUGUAAAAAAUUCGUUUGAUUAUGCUGUGCUGGGUGGAUCUUCUAAAAUUGCUGCCAUUCUUGUUACAUAUCCAUUUCAGGUAUGCAUCCUUAUAAUUGGUGUGAAGUCUUUGUAUAACCUCAUUUUCUCUUCGUUGGCUGGUCAUGAUGCCUUAUGAGGUGUGUGAAAUUUUUUUUUCAAGUUAUUCGAACUCGAUCACAGGUAAACGAGAAGUUAAAUCCUUUCAUUUACAAAUGCAAAGUACUAUAUUUUAUCACAGUCUGUAAUUUAAAUCCCAUUAUUGAGUUUAGAGCCAUGGUAUUAGUCUAAGUAGAAUGCGAAUUCGAAUUGAAUUAUGCAAUGGAAAAGCUUUACAUAUUGUAUUGCGAAAAGUCGUAUAUCCAUAAUUACACAACUCUUACAUGUCUGCUUGAGAUCUGGUUGAUAAUGUUUUAUGGGAAGGACUUUAUAAAUUGUAACUGCUCACAUUUUCUAUUAUUUACAGUUGUCGCUAAUAAAAGAAGUUGGAACUAGUUUAUCCAUGUACUAGCACGUUUAAAGAAUUAGAGCUAUUGCAUGUCUUGUUCCUAUUGGACUCUGCAUCUGGAACCCAUGUGAGAGCUACAAAAUGAUAAAAGUGUUGAUGGUGGAUUUGACAACAAUGAACUAGAAUAUGAAGAAACUCACAAAAUAGUCAUUUUGCCUAGCUGCUUGAAAUCUUCCUUUUCCAUCUGUGGAGUUGCCUGAGAAGGUAAGGUUGGCAGUUGAUGCUAUUUUAAUGGCUGAGGGUGCUGAACGGAAAGGGCAUAUGGGUAUUAAGGGUUUAACGAAGCUUCUAGCAGACAAUGCGCCAAAGGCCAUGAAGGAACAAAAAUUAGAGAGCUAUUUUGGCCGCAAGAUUGCCACGUAGUUACUCAAAGAAGGCAGAUGCUACUGAGGAUUUGCAAGAAGCCAUGGAGGUAUUUUUCUUUGGUCAAACAUGGAGUGAUAAGUAAAGUUUUCUUUUGUUGUUUCACCACUACGGAAAAUUAAGGUGCUAUUGUUUUUAUUCUUAGACUGGAAAUAAGGAGGACAUUGAAAUAAGGUAGCCAAAAUUUUGUCACCUGUCAGUAAUAGAUACUUGUAGAGUUCAAUCGAUUCAACGCCGCAAGAAAACGGAAGCGUAUGUAUAAUAACUGUAUUUGUAGUACUGAUUUUUGUUAUAUAAUAAUGAAAGGAAUAUAUGUUCUUUUCCCGUAUAAUGAAA